UACCCUCGGCGGGAUUCGAACCCGCAAUCCCCAGUUUAAGAGACUGAUACUUUAUCCAUUAUGACACGAGUGC